CCCAGUUAAAUUUUAAUUUCAAAUAAACAGCAAAUAAGUUUUUAGUAUAAGUAUAUCCCAUGCAUUAUUUGGGACAUACUUAUACUAGGAAAUUAUCUGCUGUUUACCUCAAAUUGAAAUAUAACUGGGCGUC
rnacentral:miRNA from 1 species